rnacentral:rRNA from 1 species
GGGAAACGUGGGGCUCGGCGUGGGAGGAAGACGAAGGGUGGGAGUGUGGUUGGGAAUUACGGUUCGGUGGGGUACGGAGGGGGGGAAGUAGGUCAGGGGUGGAGUUGCAAGGCGGAACGCUUGAACUGCCUUUGAUACUGGGGGUCUUGAGUAUGGAAGAGGUGGGUGGAAUUGCGAGGGUAGAGGUGAAAUGCGUAGAUAUUCGGAGGAACACCAGUGGCGAAGGCGGCUCACUGGCUCGAUACUGACGCUGAGGUGCGAAAGCGUGGGGAGCAAACAGGAUUAGAUACCCGGGUAGUC